GGGUAAAAGGUGAAUGAAACAAUGGGAAACAAAGGCCCAAAUCUCCCAAUAGAUAAUGCCAAACCCCUGUGUGCGCAAUGUCAAAUAUCGCAGAACCAUGUGAGCAAGGUGACUCAACCCUGCAUCCAAAUAAAAAACAAACAAUAGGUGAUACGCACCAAAGAACUCAUCGUUCAUGAAGUGAAACGACGAUCGACGAGGAUAGAAG
rnacentral:lncRNA from 1 species